UGAGAUUUUGUACAUGCACUUAUUAGCUAAGGGCUGGGAGAUGAUUAAAGCAAUAAAUAAUUCUGUCAUUAUUUGCUUACCCUCAUGUCUUUCUAAACCUGUAUAUUUGCUUGCAUGAACCGCAAGGAGAAGCUUAUCAGGAUGUUAAUGCUGCUCUUUUCCAUACAUUUGAAAAGAAUAGUGACCUGGGGCUGUCAAAGUCCAAAAAUGAUAAAAAGCUUUAUAAAAUACCCAAGCUAUGAGACCGUAUUGUGUCAGGAACAGAGUUGCAUUCAAAGUCACAUUGUAACAAAAGUUAACUCGGAUCAUUUCAUUCAUAGUGUGACAUACAUUUGAGUAAAAAUCAAAAAAGAAAAAUUGUAGGAUGGGGACUUGGUUCAAUCAAUUGGUUGUUGAUUGCAUGGGGGCAGAUCUGAAUUCAAGCUUGCAGUUGGGUUGUAAUGAGGGGCGAUGUUUAAGUCGACUGAAUGAUUGGAGAAGUCUGACACCAGAGAGUCCAGAGAUGUUUCAAUGGAAGAUUGAGUUAUGACAUUUUGAUAAGAAAUUACAAGGUAAAUAAAUAAAAUAUUUUCAUAGAUAAAAUGCAUUUCGUGUCACCAUGUCAUUCUCUUUCAAAUCUCCUUGAUGUUUGUAUAAAUAUGACAUGACAAGAUGUGCCAGGUUGGGUAUGAAAUAAGGGUGAGUAAAUGAUGACCGCAUUUUGAUAUAUAUCGGAGUGAAAUAUCCCUGUAAGUAGUGAUCUCCUCCUGAGAUCAGUCUGAAGUGUUAGACACCUGAUGUCUGCAGCAGGUCAGAUGGAUGUUUUUCAGCAGAAUGUAGCUUGUCAGAUAAACAAGCUUUGCUCAGAAGCUAGUAGAUGAACAUGUAGUGUGUUUUGCCACUGCAGCUGUGACCCUAAAGACACAGACCCCUAAAGAAUUACUGAAGUCUUAUUUGAAGUUUUUUGAGUCUAUAUAUGGAAGAUCUGCAGGGUUUGUUCUUUCCUCUGGUCAACAGUGAUCAUGCAGUCUAUGUCCAGCAUUUGCUGGUGUGAAAGUGAAUUGCAGUGGGAAUGUGGAUUCAGUAAUGAUAAGUGAAUGAAAAUUGGUCCCUUAAUUUCAGAUUUAAACAGCCCUUUUCUUCAUCUGUUUCUGUUUGGAAGCACAGAAUGUGAUGUAUAGAGAGGUGUGUGAUGUGCUGUGUGUAUGAUAUCUUUUCUUCUGUGUUUGUGCUAAUAUUUUGAGGGUUUGACAUUUUAGCACUGUACAUUUCUGAUGUGUGAUGCACCAUUAACUGGAUCAUGUUUGGGGGAGAACUGUCUAAUGUUCAUUGUCAUGUUUCUGUUAUCUUCUCUUAAAGCUCAAAAAUUAAUUGGUCUGAACAUGGAAAAAGCAUUGUUCUAGAGUAAACCAUUCUGUCUCGGUUUAAAGCCCUUUUAGUCCAACAUGAGAUUGUUUAGAAUGUUUUAUUGUAGUAAUAAAGUUUUACUUUCAGUGAUAA